rnacentral:rRNA from 1 species
GGGCUCAACCCCGGGUCUGCAGUGGGUACGGGCAGACUAGAGUGCAGUAGGGGAGACUGGAAUUCCUGGUGUAGCGGUGAAAUGCGCAGAUAUCAGGAGGAACACCGAUGGCGAAGGCAGGUCUCUGGGCUGUUACUGACGCUGAGGAGCGAAAGCAUGGGGAGCGAACAGGAUUAGAUACCCUGGUAGUCCAUGCCGUAAACGUUGGGCACUAGGUGUGGGGGACAUUCCACGUUCUCCGCGCCGUAGCUAACGCAUUAAGUGCCCCGCCUGGGGAGUACGGCCGCAAGGCUAAAACUCAAAGGAAUUGACGGGGGCCCGCACAAGCGGCGGAGCAUGCGGAUUAAUUCGAUGCAACGCGAAGAACCUUACCAAGGCUUGACAUCCACCGGACCGCACUGGAGACAGUGCUUCCCUUCGGGGCUGGUGGACAGGUGGUGCAUGGUUGUCGUCAGCUCGUGUCGUGAGAUGUUGGGUUAAGUCCCGCAACGAGCGCAACCCUCGUUCUAUGUUGCCAGCACGUGAUGGUGGGGACUCAUAGGAGACUGCCGGGGUCAACUCGGAGGAAGGUGGGGAUGACGUCAAAUCAUCAUGCCCCUUAUGUCUUGGGCUUCACGCAUGCUACAAUGGCCGGUACAAAGGGUUGCGAUACUGUGAGGUGGAGCUAAUCCCAAAAAGCCGGUCUCAGUUCGGAUUGAGGUCUGCAACUCGACCUCAUGAAGUCGGAGUCGCUAGUAAUCGCAGAUCA